rnacentral:rRNA from 1 species
AUCGAACGCUGGCGGCAUGCCUUACACAUGCAAGUCGAACGGCAGCACGGGAGCAAUCCUGGUGGCGAGUGGCGAACGGGUGAGUAAAGUAUCGGAACGUGCCCAGUCGUGGGGGAUAACGUAGCGAAAGUUACGCUAAUACCGCAUACGAUCUAUGGAUGAAAGCGGGGGAUCGCAAGACCUCGCGCGAUUGGAGCGGCCGAUAUCAGAUGAAGUAGUUGGUGGGGUAAAGGCUCACCAAGCCGACGAUCUGUAGCUGGUAUGAGAGGACGACAAGACACACUGGGACUGGCGCCCGGCCCAGAGUCCUACGGGAGGCAGCAGUGGGGAAUUUUGGACAAUGGGCGAAAGCUUGAUCCAGCCAUGCCGCGUGCAGGAUGAAGGCCUUCGGGUUGUAAACUGCUUUUGUACGGAACGAAAAGGUUUGGGCUAAUAAGCUGAGCUCAUGACGGUACCGUAAGAAUAAGCACCGGCUAACUACGUGCCAGCCGCCGCCGUAA